rnacentral:rRNA from 1 species
CCUACGGGUGGCAGCAGUGAGGAAUAUUGGUCAAUGGACGAGAGUCUGAACCAGCCAAGUAGCGUGAAGGAUGACUGCCCUAUGGGUUGUAAACUUCUUUUAUAAGGGAAUAAAACGAGGCACGUGUGCCUUUUUGUAUGUACUUUAUGAAUAAGGAUCGGCUAACUCCGUGCCAGCAGCCGCGGUAAUACGGAGGAUCCGAGCGUUAUCCGGAUUUAUUGGGUUUAAAGGGAGCGUAGAUGGGUUGUUAAGUCAGUUGUGAAAGUUUGCGGCUCAACCGUAAAAUUGCAAUUGAUACUGGCAGUCUUGAGUACAGUUGAGGUAGGCGGAAUUCGUGGUGUAGCGGUGAAAUGCUUAGAUAUCACGAAGAACCCCGAUUGCGAAGGCAGCUUACUAAACUGUAACUGACAUUGAUGCUCGAAAGCGUGGGUAGCAAACAGGAUUAGAUACCCCAGUAGUC